AUUAUUAAUUAAUCUCAUUAAUUAAUACUAAUUAACCCUACACUAGGAUCUAAAUAUGAUACAACAGCAUGCAUUUAAAUUUGAAAUUCAAAUUUGAAUCAGUAAACCUUUUACAGUACUGUGUUCAGAACACAUCACCUUUUGCGGGUAGUCGAUCACCACAAUCUGAUCACCGUUGGGGGGCUCUGAUCAUCACGUCACAGCCACA
rnacentral:lncRNA from 1 species